rnacentral:rRNA from 1 species
CCUACGGGUGACAGCAGUGAGGAAUAUUGGUCAAUGGGCGAGAGCCUGAACCAGCCAAGUCGCGUGAAGGAUGACGGCCCUACGGGUGUAAACUUCUUUUGUCAGGGAGCAAUUGGGUCCACGCGUGGGCUUAGCGAGAGUACCUUAAGAACAAGCAUCGGCUAACUCCGUGCAAGCAGCCGCGGUAAUACGGCGGAUGCGAGCGUUAUCCGGAUUUAUUGGGGUUGAAGGGUGCGUCGGCUGAAUCUCAAGUCAGCGGUAAAAAUUCGGGGCUCAACCCCGUCGUGCCGUUGAAAUUGAUGUUCUGGAGUGGGCGAGAAGUAUGCGGAAUGCGUGGUGUAGCGGUGAAAUGCAUAGAGAUCACGCAGAACUCCGAUUGCGAAGGCAGCAUACCGGCGCCCAACUGACGCUGACGCACGAAAGCGUGGGUAUCGAACAGGAUUAGAUACCCUUGUAGUC